AGUCGCGGACGAGGUCACGGUCCAGUCAGCCGUGCCCCGGACAGGUCAGCACAGGCCGCCGCCGAGCAGCGCAGACUGCUCACCGCCACCAGGGCGCAGACGACCAAACCCGCGCCUUCUGAUCCGGAGAACAAGCAGAUUAAAAGGGUACGCUCCCUGGUGCCGCACCACGCGACCAACAGCAACUACCUGUCGUACGACCGGAACGACACGCUGACCGUCGUGGGCACCGCCGACCGCCAGUGGCUGCUCUGCGCCCGCGACCGACACGUGGGGCUGGUCACGCGGCGGCACGUCACCCAUGUCACCUGAACAGGCGCACGAGCCCGGUGAUGUGGCGUCAUCUACGUCACCCGAGCCGGCGGACAGCGUCAGUGGCGGGGCGGGACGUCGCCUGAGGCCAAUGAGGGUCUGGUGACGUGUGUGUGCUUCACCGACGUCCGUAUUGGGUCUGGUGACGUAUGUAUGCUUCACUGACGUCCAUAUUGGGUUUGGUGACGUAUGAAUGCUUCACCGACGUCCGUAUGGGGUCUGGUGACGUGUGCAUGCUUCACCGAUGUUCGCAUUGGGUCUGGUGACGUGUGCAUGCUUCACCGACGUCUCUGGUCUGGUGACGCGCCGACACGUAGCCGGAACCUAAUGCGGCCCUCGAGACGUGCCGCCAAGUCACUGGCGCGAUGUGAACCCCGUGACGCACAGAGAUUGUUAGCGUCGCCCGAGUCAGUAGCAGCUCUGCUCGAAACAUAGGCUCUGCGGUGUGACCCCCGCUGCCUGCCAAACCUGAUGUGCCACCCGCCCCCGACCGUUCCUGUCCCGCUAUGCAGUCAGAUUGUCGUGCGCACAUAGUUACCAUGCGCCCGCUCAUCCCACAUCGAGGUAGUUGUGGAUGAGUGGUGUAAGUUAUCGCAGCGUUAUGAUAACUAAGACCCAUCGGCCAGACCAGCCAUGCUGUUUCAGUUCGGUGCUAUUUGUACGUCUUAUCGCGGUUCAUGUGACGGUUCUAGGGAACAGCACUGGGGUAUUUGCGGCGUGGCUGACGCUCGCGCUUGCGCGUGGUUCUGCGAGCACUUGCCCAAUUUUAGUCAGAGGCUGCUGCAUGCUUCAGUGCACCCAACAAGGAAACUGGCAUACACGGUACAGCGUUAACAGUGGUGGUAGAUAAGUCCAUCGACACAAGUAAAGUCACUAAUGGGGUAUGCACUUUUUUGUCUGGGGACUUGACGGCGUGACCAAGUGAUGUUUAGCUCAUCUAAGAGAGCUGAUCGAUUCCCCGUCUUCAACGGUAUCAUCGCACAGCUGGUUACUAUGUUCAGCAUCAGUGUCUACGUUGUUGAAAGGAGCCCAAGCGACCCGAAGCAAGAGAGAAAAAAAUCUCGACGGAUUUACUGGCAAGGAAUGGCUUGCGAGCAUUUUCCUGGGCGAGAUAGGAUUUGACACAUUCCAAGCGCGUUGUUAGUUACGUUACGCGCGUCCAAGUUACGUUGGCGAUUUAUACAGCUGUCCGAUCAAGUCCGUUAGCAUUAUCCAGUAUCCAGUUACGCCCGCGGCGCUCAGUUCCUGAACGACGGCGACGCACGCGCCGAUGAUUUUGGAGCAGCGUCCGGUAGCAGUGUUCGAGCUAGGGCGUGCUUCCCGCCUGGAAACAAGCGCCAGGCAGCAGUUUACCCCGCCAGUCGUGGCCUAGCCUUCAUUUAACGACCAGACGCGCAGUGUUCUAGAUGUCUGUCGUCGCUUGCCCUCCGCAGACGACGCACGCGAGAGCUUCCUCUGUGGCUUUCAGUGGAGAGUGGAAUGUGAUACGUGCGGCUGUGUACCGCCGGGCGAUGUGCGAAAUGUAACCCAGGUGGGUGGCUUUGCAUUCGAGGCCGAGUGACCUUCAAAAUACUAACGUCAGACACCCAAACGGUUGUGACCUGUGAGCUUGUGACGUGGAGCUUGUCGCGUCGUACGCGCAGCAGCUGGCGGUGCAUAGCAAGGCGGGCGAGGCGCGCGACCAGCCCUUGCGUCGUGUUGUGUGCCCGGACUGUUAGGACGUCCGGUGUUGUGUGCCCGGACUGUUAGGACGUCUGCCGAACACGAGCCAGGCGGCACGUCCCAGGACCAGGGAACCUGAAUCAGCGGCACUGCACAGCAUAGCGCUGGCGCAAACCAGCCCGGACAGUCACAUGGUAACGUGUCAUCUCACGUGAAUUGAGUUAUUAUGCGAGAUUAUCAGGUCCGUACUGUUUUGUUCAAAGGUUUGCAAUAUGCGUGGAGCUUUGAAAUGCAAAUAAACUCUUUACUUUCAA